rnacentral:rRNA from 1 species
UACAGAGGGUGCAAGCGUUAAUCGGAAUUACUGGGCGUAAAGCGUGCGCAGGCGGCUUUGCAAGACAGAUGUGAAAUCCCCGGGCUCAACCUGGGAAUGGCGAUGGAGACUGCAAGGCUAGAGUUUGGCAGAGGGGGGGUAGAAUUCCACGUGUAGCAGUGAAAUGCGUAGAUAUGUGGAGGAACACCGGUGGCGAAGGCGGCGGCCUGGUCCGACACUGACGCUGAGGCGCGAAAGCGUGGGGGAGCAAACAGG